UUAAGUGCGAGGUCUAGGGUUGGAAUCUCAAAAAAAAAUUGUUUGUUUUUUUGCCUUUUUGAUUUUUAUAUGUUUCUACACUUUCUCAUUAUUACAAUUAUCCAUAUUUUUUUAUUAUUUUCAUUGUUAUUAAUAUACAAUUAGUUUUUUUUUUAUAAUAGAAAUAUAUUUUAUUAUCUUUAUCAUUUAAUUAAUAUCAUAAUCCAUCAUUAUUAUAUUAAUAACCAAAUAUUC
rnacentral:lncRNA from 1 species